GACGAACGCUGGCGGCGUGCUUAACACAUGCAAGUCGAACGGAAAGGCCCUGCUUUUGUGCGGUGCUCGAGUGGCGAACGGGUGAGUAACACGUGAGUAACCUGCUCUUGACUUUGGGAUAACUUCAGGAAACUGGGGCUAAUAUCGGAUAGGAGCCCCCGCUCCAUGGUGGGCGUUGGAAAGUUUCGGCGGGUGGGGUUGGACUCGCGGCUUACCAGCUUGCUGGUUGGGUAGUGGCAUACCAAGGCUUUGACGGAUACCCGGCCUGAGUGGGUGGACGGCCACAAUGGGACUGAGGGACGGACCAGACGCGUACGGGAGGCAGCAGUGGGAAAUAUUGCACAAUGGGCGGAAGCCUGAGGCAGCAGCGCCGCGUGCGGGAUGACGGCCUUCGGGUUGUAAACCGCUUUCGCCUGUGACGAAGCGUGAGUGACGGUAAUGGGUAAAGAAGCACCGGCUAACUACGUG
rnacentral:rRNA from 1 species